GAUAAAUUUGAUUAACUUAUCAUCUAUGGUUCUUAUCUAUUAAUCUCGCUUUAAGACAAAUGGGUGUGAGUCUCCAUUCUCAUAUAAUAUUAAAUUUAAAGGUGUCGAACUCAAUUUGGUAGUUAGGACACUUAAUUUGAUCCUUGAAGAACUAAUUAUGCAAUGUCAGCCAUUAGAAUGCUACUUGCUCCUUUGUACUAGUGUAGUGGCUCAGCUGCCAUAGUGUUUCCCUUCCUUGCUGGUAUUCCUUACUCGGAUUCGACUUGAAAUGAGGAUCAGGGUUCUCGCUAGAUAUGUAUGAUUCACCCGGUACCUGUUAUUGGUAGUAGCAUCAGUCUCUUUCCACUCCCUCUUCUGUCUGAGUUGAGACUUGAAAGGAAGUCUACUAAAUGUAGGGAUACUCCACCUGACAAUGGUAGUCUUAUUUCAAUAAUGCUUUUUUUGGUUACCUCUGUUAACUGGAUUGGUGACGAAAAACUCAACUAAGAUUCAUGGUUAUAAAGCUUAGGACCAAAUUGAUCAUGUUUAAAACCAAGGGACUAAACUUACUAUGAAGUAAAACUUCAGAAAUCAAAUUGAGUCUUCUCUCAUUAUUCUGCUUUCUUUUUCUUUAAGGAUUUGUAGUAGUACAUAGUUAUGACUGAUUUGUAUUCGGUGGAGGUUAAAAAAGAUAUCUUAGAUUGAGUUUGGAUUCUGUGUCAGAAAUAGAAAGACACAGAUACCAAUACUUUCUGUCUCUACUAUUAGGAAGUUGUACAAUUUUGUGUUUCUAUAAUGAAGACUUUCUGUGUACAGAUUUUCUGUCCAAAUAUUGUCUUAAUAUGUUAACAUUUGUUAAUGCUAUCCUCAAAUGUGAACGAGUGUGCAUCUAUGUGAACUUUUUCGGUCUUCAUAAUCAUUCAAACCAGCUAUAUAACAUUUGUUCUUUUUUUUUUGGAGGGAGAGAGAAAAGGGGGGGUUGAUCAUCACCACACAUUUUCCAUUGUUGUUGCUGCAUGAUAAAACAACCAUAACUUAAAUGUGGAAUGUUUCAAAAGAAAUCAGAGAUAGAGACGUUCGAUGGAUGUCAAAGCAGGCAUUUGGUUUGGGUGUCUUACAUCCAGAAAGGAGGGAAUCCAAACCAAGGGUAUCGAAACCAAUCAAUCUAUUGUAUAUUCUUAAAAUAGUGUUUGCUUUUAUUUUUAUUUUUGUACUUGGUGCAAUUUUUACACUGUUUCUUGAUUAUCUUCCUGAACUGAUAUUGUUUGUCAAGUAAUACUGUAGUGCUUUUUCAAUGCCUGAAACUGGUUCAUUCCCAUGA